UGGGGCCUCUUGGCCACCUCAGAGGGCGGCCUUAUCCCUGUGGCAAAUCUCAGCUCUUCAGUCUGAUCCUGUUUCCUGUAGAGUUUUCUCAGUGUUUCUCAGAAGAAUGAAUUCCCAAUGGACUUUACUGCCUGUCUGGUCCAAUUCAGCCCCGAAGGCAAGAGCAGAGGUUUCUGGGAAGCCCGGCUUGCACUGCCACUAUGGAUCGGUGCAAUUUUGGGGAAGUCACUGGACUUGAGUUUCCUUCUCUUUCCAUUGACGGGGACAGGGAGAGAUGGCUGCUGAGAGCUCCCCUCCCUCUCUGAGCUCAACCGCUGUGUGUGGAGGGCUUUGUUCUGGGUCUCAGGCCGUUGGCUGGUCCCGGUUCCAUAUGCCUGGUGUGUGGGGGUGAGUGUGUUCCUAGCUGGAAGAAGGGGAAGCUUCAGGGGUUCAGCUAAUGUUGUGUGACUCUCUUCCAGGUUUUAUGUUGCUGAGCAAUCCUGAGUCACCAGGCUGUUUGCGUCGGGUGUUAAGGAACCCUUGGCUUCCGCUCUGCCCCCUCUCCCUGGGUCGCAAAAGCCGGAAGGGCUGGAAGAGAAGAGAACGUUGCUAAUAGUUUGGAAACUCCGGAAUCGCUUCGGGUCAAGGACCUUCAAGGAUUGGAACAUCUGGAAGACAGAACUCACAGGCAGAGGGGUGAUCUUUGGAAAUGCAAAUUAGCACCACCUUGUGAACUCCAGAUUGGUCCAAUUUAAAAGUUGGACCAGUAGUUAUCAUCGUGAUGAAUGUGUAACUUCGAUGCAACUUUUCCAGUCAAGCAAAUGGGCAAGUGGGAAAAAUCCUUGCAGAGCCCAGCUCUUAUGACACAAGGUCAGCAUCACAUCCCACAAGGUGAGUGGAGAUUUAGCAGGCCCCUUUAAAAGUCAUUACAGUAGUCAACUCCGUGAGAAAAUUUAGCACUCCAGCUUCUAGGACUAGAACUAACCCAGGGAGAAAAUCCAGUAUUCCGACUUCUAUAACUAAAAUCAACCCUGUGAAAAAAAAUUCAGUACUCCAAAUUCUAGAAUGGUAAUCAACUCAGUUAAAAAAAAUCAGUACUCCAACCUCUAGAACUAAAGCCAACCCACUGGAAAAAUCCAGAACUCCAAAUUCUGAAACUAUAAUCAACACAAUAAAAAAAGUUCAGUACUCCAAAUUCUAGAAUGGUAAUCAACUCAGUAAAAAAAAAAAAAAAAAAUUCAGUACUCCAACCUCUAGAACUAAAGCCAACCAAAUGGAAAAAUCCAGUGCUUCAAAUCCUGAUAAUAUAAUCAAUCCAAUAAUUAAAAAAAAAAAAAUCAGUACUCCAACUUCUAGAAUGGCAACAAGUCCAGCACAAAAAUUCUGCACUCCAAAUUCUAGGACUAUAAUCACAUUUUGAGCCUAGAGAUCUCCUUCUGCCUCUUUUGAAUUUAAGUGAAAAGCAGCAUAGCAAUUUCAAUUUCUUUUUGUGGAGCAUACGUUGUUUUUAUACAUGUGGAAUAAUUCAUUGAGGCUAUAAGUAGUAUUGAGUAAGCAUCCUGAGAAAACCUUGCUUUGAUGUCAUCUAGUCCCUCCUACCACCCUCCCUGCGCCCCCUCCACCCCAGUUCAUUUUUGUCAAAGUGAGUUUCCAUAUGUUUCAUCUAAAUGAGUCACAUUCAGAGAAAUCAUUCAAAUGAUCUAUGUGUGCAGCUAACUUUUUCAUUUGUGGGUGAUGAUCAAGAGUAGAAAAAAUGGUGCUUUCUUCUCCCAUCCCCAACUCCUUGGGCUUGCGCUGCUUCUCUGAGCAUUCUGAACCUUCAACUGUAUUCUACACCAGGGGGAAAUAGCCAUAGUCAUAUUGCGAAAAUUAUUCAAUUUCAGUCCACUUAAAGGGCCUUAAAGGGAGGCUGCACUCACGCCUUCUCAGGGGAUAGGCAGUGCAUGUUACCGUGGCUAAAGUGCUGGUUGAGAGGUUUUAAAUCAUAUUUGUAUCUUGGGACACUCACACUGGAGACAAUUGUCUUCCUAAGAAGAUGCACCAUCUGUGUCAUUGGUUGUGCAGGGCCCGGCAGGGGAGAACAGGGCCAGCUUCAGAGGUUAACAAGGACUGUCACUGCAUCCCACGCUCUCAACCUCAGGGAUGCGAUGGGUCUUGGAGUCUCCUCUUGCCUUCUGUUAGGUAACCAUGAAAUACAUACAUAUCUGCAUCCAAAUGAGGCAAUGCUUGAUCUUCUCUGUUGACUGAACUCAAGGCUCAGUUUGAUUUUCACCCUUCUUAUCAAGAGCUGGCUUCACGAAUGAGCAGUUAUGCAGCACGCACAUCUGGGUAGCUUCCAUACAGGAGGUGUGUUACUGACGCUUCCCCUACUCGACUGAUGCCUUCAAACGCAGGGGGACAUUACAGUUGUGGAUUUCACUGCUGCUUUGGUUCAAGGAUCACUGCGUUCUCUUGGAAAUGAUGCGCUGCUCUCCUUCCCACUUACCCCUACGGGCAUCAAGGCUGUUGGCUGACACUGAGACACCCAGCUGGCCAGCCCGUCUGCGAUCGGUAGCACUGGCCAGUCUUUCACAGAGAGCACCCACAGCCCAUCUCACGGACAGUUGACAGUCCCAGGAAAGGAAGAGAGGGAGACAGGAGGGAGGGACUUCCCUGUUGUGGGCAGUGCGAUGCACCCGGAUUCCCUCAAACUCAGCUCUCUAAAUGUUUCUGGCAUGGGAGACUCUGAAACCUUUCUCUGCAGACAAGGUGACUCUUGUUCUCUGUCUGUUUGGACAGCCACCCAGGUUGGCUUGGGUGGGAAUCUGUGUCCUGCUCUCUGGUCUUUCCCACUCAUUUCUUUGCUGGCUAGGCAUGAUUGUCUCAUCAACCAAUCAGCCAGCCAGUCCUCAGAAGGAAGAUGUAUUGCACCGGCCCAAGUGUUUUAAAGUUGAUUAGGAUUUUGUAUCAACAACAGCAUUUGGAAGUACAUGUGAGUCAUUGUGUCUGCUUAGAUUGUCAUUAUUUAUUUUUAUGUAUUUAUUUAUUAUUUUUGUAAAGAUUUAUUUAUUUGAAAGGCAGAGUUACAGAGAGGCAGAGAGAGAGAGAGAGAGAGAGAGAUAUCUUUCAUCUGCUGGUUUACUCCCCAACUCCCCAAGUGGCCUCAAUGGCCGGAACUGUGCUGAUCCGAAGCCAGAAGCCAGGAGCUUCUUCCAGGUCUCUGAUGCAGGUGCAGGGCCCAAGGACUUGGGCCAUCUUCUACUGCUUUCCCAGGCCAUGGUAGAGAGCUGGAUCGGAAGUGGAGCAGCCAGGACUUGAACUGUAGCCUAUAUGGGAUGCCAGCACUACGCCACAGUGCUGGCCCCCUGUAUUUAUUAUUUAGACUCUACCUAUUUCUAAAGCACCUUCAAAUGAGUUACAAUAAAAGAAACAGGAGUAAUUAGGCAUAUUUAAAAGGGACAAAAAGUUAAAGUAAUGUACGGAAGAAUGAGCCUAGGUUAAUAAUAGCUAUUACAGUUUUAUACUAAUUUUAGUAGUGGGUUCCUAGCAAUCAAAACUUUAAAAUGUUGGGAAAGACUUAACUUUUUUUUUUUAUAUCUAGAAGAAUACAUAUGAGUUCAUUUAGAGGUGAACUUUCUCCUUACAUCACUAACUUUUAAUUGAAACUUAUUACAUGGAUCUUGUAUAUAGGACAAGAUUGACAAAUGAACACUUUUAAUGGUGAUUUUUAAAAAAAUAUCUGAGUGGCAGAGAGACAGAGAGGGUGACAGAAAGAGAGAGAAAAAGGGGGAGGCAAAGAGGGAGGGGAGAGAGAGAGAGUAUUCACAUCUGUGGGUGCACUCCACGGAUGCCUGCAACACUCCAGACUGGGCUGAACUCACACCAGGAGCUGGGGGACCAGGUGCCCCACACAGGGGGAACAAACCCAGUUGCUUCAGCCAUUACUGUGGCCUCCCAGGGUGUGCAUUAGCAGGAAGCCCGAACCUGGGGCGGAGCUGAGUUGUGAAUCCAUGUGCUCUGAUACAAGGACUUGAGCCUCUUAAGUGACAUCUUAGCCAAGUACCCGCCGUGGUGGUGUUAUUUCCAAAGCUGUAGAAAUAUUCUUCACGCUUCUGCUUAUCACAGUGUGGAAAGAAGCCUGCUGGUCCACACUGGAGAAUUCAAGUUCACUUUAGCUUUAGGGUUUUACUUCCUCUGAACUGAGGUGUGGGCUGUUUGGCAGGACGCACGGUCACUUUGUCUUUGGCCAAGGUGGCUUAUGUCCCUGGCUCCUGGAAGAUUCAGGAAGUGCCUUUCCCUCCAGGGUGCGUUGCUACGGUUCUCUGGGUGUGUGGUUUAGCCUUCGUUGCUGAAACUGUUCACUUGGCUCACUCUCAGAGGUGCUUGGAAGAAGUGACCCCUUCACUGUUUAAGUCUGUCUGUCAAAAUCUCAGGUGACUUUCAGGGAUGCCCCCAGCCCUGGCAAAUACCUUUUGCACCUGUCUAAGAGAUUGGCCCCUUGUGACCCCAGAGAUCUUCGAGAUGUGUGCUAAUGCUGAGCCCAUAGGCUCCAACUCUUUCAGAAGCCUAGAACCAAGGGUUUGGAGAGACUCUCAGGAUUAGGCAUCCUUUCAUUUCACUGGUCAGUGCCGCAGCCAAUUUUGGUCACCUUUAGUGUUUGACAAAGGUGCGUCUCAUCAGUAAUAUCUAGACUAUUUUAAUUCUAAAAUUCUGCCUGGUGCAAUGACAUCACAGAUAGGUAACAGUGUAAAUCCUGACUUCAAAGGCUGACAAAUAGUUUUGAUGAAAGUGGCAAAUCGAGUCUGGCUCGCAGCCAUUUGUGCGGCAGGUGGAGAACCCAGACGGCCAAUGCCAAGUAUCAUUUCAGGCUGGCAGAACACUAAAGCAACAGAGCAUUUUACCUGGGAAGGCAAUACCUUCCCCGCCAGCACAGAACACAAGGAGGAAAUGAUAUCAGGGAUUAAAAACACAUGAAAAGCAUUUAAUAACUCUCAGAACAUAUGGAAAUUAAUGAUAUUCAGAGCUUGAAGGAGACUGAGAAUUUUCAGCUUAAAAUUAUCUUCCCUGCUGAUGCACAGUUCCUGGGGGGCUCCCAAAAUGCCACAGAGAAAACUCGAUGCAAGCAGCAGCAACAACAACAAAAAGUGAGAGCUCUUGAGAAUCAGGGUAUGGAGUGAGUGGAAAUAAGUGGAAUUAUUUGUAAAGAAUAAGUGAUAACGGAUUCACACCCCCGUUUUUCACUUCGCCAUCCUAACUGGCCUUGUACAGGAUUUCUUUAUUUGUAUGGAAGACUUUUACUAAUUUUACUUUGUUAUCUUUUAAGGCACAUUGCAUCUUUGAAAUAAUAUAGUCUCUGCAUCAGACAGAGACCCAGCAGCUAAAAUAACUUCUAUCAGAAGACUGCAUACCGCAGAGGGAACACUCUCUCAGUCUUAGGAGAUCCAAUAAGAAACGCAGAGUGGGAAGUUUAGCUCGCCUUCCAAGUCCAAUGCCACCAUACUGUUAGGUAGGAAGUCAGCUAUGAGCUUAUGUGUGUGUGACAUAAAGGCCUAAAGAGAAGACAUCUAUGUCCAGCAUAUGCAUCUGCAUCUCAGAGUCAUCCUGACAAUGUUUCAGGGGCAGCCCGGUAUUCGCAUCCUGCCCUGCCCCUUCUACCUGAUAACCUGCCAGGUGGAGGUCCCCGCCCCUUCUGCCAGACAAAUCUUCCACAAUCUCCCAGGUGUAGCCCAGUAUCUGCAUGUCAAACACCCUGCUCCGGAUCCCCAUUCUCUAGGGGGUCCUGCUCACCCUUCCUCUAAACUCAGGAUGGCGCCAGCGAUACCUUCAGGAGAAAACUCAGAUAGAAGUUUUUCUAUCUCCUUCACCCCCCCCCCCCCCCCCCC